rnacentral:misc_RNA from 1 species
UCGUCUUAAAAUUUUCGUUUAGUUGUUACAUUUGGUGAACGAUCUGGAGCGCUGUGUCUAGCGAGAGAUGGAAUCCUCCAAAAAUCUCACUUCACUGCCUGAAGAGGGCCAAGAAGACGAUAAUCAUGAAGAACAAGAAGGAAAAGAUACCCGGAAGCCAUCUGUUUCUGCUUUUGCCUCUGUUCCUCAUCGCCCUCCUUCUGCUCAGAGCUCUUUACAGAAGUACUCUCCCUUAGACUGGAAGGAGUUCUUCGACCGAGAGGAAGAUGUUUGCAUUCCCAAUUCAAAUGAUGUAUUUCAUGUGUAUAUGGCAGGAAGCGAAGGACCUGUGGUUUUUUGUCUUCAUGGGGGUGGCUAUUCUGGGCUUUCAUUUGCACUGUCAGCAAGUAAAAUUAAGGAGAAAGCACGGGUAGUUGCCAUUGACUUGAGAGGACACGGGAAAACAUCCACUGAAAAUGACCUUGAUCUAUCCAUUGAGACCUUGUCCAAUGAUGUUUUGGCUAUAUUGAAGGAAAUGUAUGGAGAUUCUCCUCCUGCAAUUGUGCUUGUUGGUCACAGCAUGGGGGGCUCAGUAGCUGUGCAUGUUGCCGCUAAGAAAGCAUUAUGUAGCUUGGCUGGGUUGGUUGUUGUGGAUGUUGUGGAGGGAACGGCUAUGGCUUCUUUGGUUCACAUGCAGAAAAUCUUAUCAAAUAGGAUGCAGCAUUUCUCAAGCAUAGAGAAAGCGGUAGAAUGGAGUGUCAAGGGAGGUUCUUUAAGAAACAUUGAUUCUGCCCGCAUAUCUGUGCCUACCACUUUAAAGUAUGAUGAUUCAAAGAAAUGUUAUGUUUAUAGAGCACGUCUGGAGGAAACAGAACAAUAUUGGAGAGGAUGGUAUGAAGGCCUUUCAGAAAAAUUUCUGUCAUCUCCUGUUCCAAAACUCUUACUUUUAGCAGGAACAGAUAGACUUGACAGAGCUCUUACAAUUGGCCAAAUGCAAGGGAAGUUCCAAAUGGUGGUUGUCCGACAUACCGGACAUGCUAUACAGGAAGAUGUACCUGAUGAAUUUGCAACGCUCAUUGUUAAUUUUAUAUCCCGCAACCGCAUAGGGCCUCAUGGAGUUGAGAUACCUGGACUCCGUUGACCAUCACAGCCACAACAUUGAUGAUGUUGGACAAAUUGUCUACUAAUUUCGCCUAUUUUGGACGAUGAUGCAGAGACAACAUAUGCUAUGCAUUCAGCUUCACAUGCCGGAUCUCUAGUAAAUGUGCUUAGAGGUUUAUUUUCUUUAAUCUUGCCAAAUUUCUGAAUUAAUAAUCCAGUAAUGCAACUUUGAAGUGAUAUGACAAACAGUGAUAUAAUUGAACUGAUGUAUUUUGAAUACUCUGUGGUGAUCAAAUUUCAUAUUGGUUAGCUUUUUGUUGGUCAGAGGAUACUUGCAAUGUUGCAUUCACAUGCAUUUUAUAAUUUAUCAGGGAAUGUAUUUGAAAUUACAUUUUACUUCUUAUUUAUGUAGAUUGAACUUGCUAGGGCAUAACUAAGAAGUAAAAUGUAAUUUCAAAUAC